CCAUAAACCGUGGCUCAGUUCAGAUCGUAGGCUGCAACUCGCCUACGUGAAGGAGGAAUCGCUAGUAAUCGCAGGUCAGCAUACUGCGGUGAAUACGUUCCCGGGCCUUGUACACACCGCCCGUCACACCAUGGAAGUUGGCCACGCCCGAAGCCGUUACUCCAACCCUCGGGAGGAGGACGUCGAAGGUGGGGCUGAUGACUGGGGUGAAGUCGUAACAAGGUAUCCGUACCGGAAGGUGCGGAUGGAUCACCUCCUAA
rnacentral:rRNA from 1 species